GCCCGAGCCCGACAGCCGACUGCCUUUUACUUCCCCUUCCGAUUGGCGACACCCACAGGACUUCCGGCUACCGAGACGUGGCGUGGAAGCCCAGAGCGUCGCGUGGUCGCCAUCUUGUCCCGAGGCGGCCCCGCCUUCCUCCGGGCUCCUUGAAGGGAAGGGACGGACGCGGAGACGGGAGACUCUGCCGAAAAGUACCAAAAGGUGAGACAACCCUUCCCCUGAGAAUGCCAGAUGAGCAGAAGCACUUACUUCACCCGACAAGUGUGUGUCUGGACUGUUUAAGAACCUAAGGGCUGGCUAUUGGUUUUUCUGUGCCUUGCUAGGACAAAGGAGGUAAAAAUGAUUUUAAGGAAUGAAAAUGAGUGUUGUAAAAUUCUUGAAUGAACCUUAUUGUUAGUAGCUUUCUCUUGGGUGUUUUUGCCGCUCUUUAAACUACUUCAGGUGAUGCUUCCAAUAAAA